CUCCCCUUACCACCGUGUCAACCUCGAGGCAGAAUCUCCUCACCCCCAUACCACAGCCAAAACGUUUCACCAGGACCACGUGAUCCUCCAAUGGAAACGACCCCACACGUUAUAUUCAGAGACAGGGACAGUGUUGACACACAUUUCUAGGAGUUUUACUCUUGUAGUUUAUUUUGACGAUUAUCAUGCAAUAAUCGCUCCAUUACUGAUUAUUUCAACAUGGUCGAUUAAUUGGCUCAUCUCUAUUAGUAUCAUAAUUAAAUAACAAAACUCACAAUAAGUACAUGUUUUGAUGUUUAUGUGAAUGCAGACUGCAUUUCAAAAUUUGAUACUUAUAUUAUUGGAUUUUUGAUACAUUACUCGAUUGACAAUUAAUUAACAUAUGUUUA